UUCCUCAUAGAAGUUUAUGGGAGCAGAGGAGUCGCCCCUUGGGGGUCAGUACAGAGAAUGCAGCUUCAGGCACCACAUUAGCUUCCCUCAGUCUGGUGUCUGUAAUGUAAAUCCCAAUAGACCUUCAUUACAGAAACAAGAGACUGGAUAUUUCUGUUGGUUUCCAAGUGUGUCUGUGUCUGUGUGUGUGUGUGUGUGUGUGUGUGUGUGUGUGAGGAGCCAGUCAUUGAACAUUGUUAAACUCUUAACAUUCUGCGACUGCAUGUCUCCACUUUUCCUAUCUAUUAAAAACAGUUGUAUUUAGUGGGAAUCUGAGUCUGCUGGAUUUUUCCACUUGACAUCCUGGAGGAAAUGAGAAGGUCUCCUGCUGAGUGAGAACUACUAGGAAAGCGACCAGAUCUUAAUCUGGGGGCCAAACACAGAGAAACGUUUGAUCCAGAAGCUGACCGGGUGUCAGACCAGAGAAUUAACAACAGCUCAGCUCUCGGUUCGGACUUUCUUUGUCAAAAUACACCCCCCACCCCCCAGCCAGGCGCCUCGACACCAUGGGGGGGCCGAGUAUUCAUGCCCCCCAACCUGCAAAGAGCUCCAUUCAUUCCAGCGGAAACAUUUCAAUGAAAACUAGCGACACACUGAAAUGUGCUGUAAUGUGUAAUAAUAAGGUGGAACACAUACUUAAUAACAUGAGUUAUUACACAGUCCCCAUGUUUUACUUUUGGGGGGAUUGUAAGUAUCUGUCAACUCACAUCUCAUAACUACUUUAUUACCUUUAUUAUUAUUUGUCCUCAAAUGAUCUACUCAAAUGACUCAAAAGGGAAUUGGGUGCUUCUUUGAGUAACAGCCACACCUCUCAGACACUGAGGACACUGAGGACAAUGAGGACAAUGAGGACAGGUGUAAUGAGAACUGCGUCCACUGCUCUCUGAUACACACACACACACACACACACACACACACACACACACACACACGCACACACACAGCGAUCAGACCCCCGUGUGAUAAUCGGAUGGAUCUCUUCUCCCUUUCUGCGGGUCUAUAACUGCUCAUGCUAACAUGUAGCAACAUGCUAAGUCAAUCUUCUGAUACUUCCUCCGGAUGAGGACAACACAUUUAUUUCAGCAUAGAUGGGAAUGAUUAUUACUUCCUGUAAGGUUUCAUAAUCAAAUCCACGUUGUGUUCAUUGUCUGUUAAUAUAUAUUUUUUACAUUCUUACAUGUAGUUUCCAACUGCAGAUAUUUUAUAAUGUAGUGUCAUUAUUGUAGUUUAUAAUGCUCUAAAGUCACAGUUAAAGUGCAUCAAAAUGUAAUUAUGUAAGUCCGGUAUUCUGAAAUUCUUUAUAAUAUCUUAUAUUGUAAUAUUAUUAUUGUUAGAAACAUUUUUGACACGUGAACAAACUGGUAAACGUUACGCAGCACGGAACAAAAUAAGAAAUACAAAUGAAAAACAUACAAAGGUCAGCUGUCAAAGUACGUCGGCCCCUGAGAAUAUUCUCACAUCAAAUGCUUCUAAAAUUAGACAUUACGUAACGCGCGUUGCGUUCGUGUCAGAGGUAGGGACCCCGGUGCAUGCUGGGUAUGGACACGACGGCUAAACUAACUCAUUAUUAAGAGACACUGGAGACGAUGAGCGCACGCGCAACCUCGAAGGCGUCGUUUUACAUUCGACACGCAGAGCGGCGCAACCGAGAGAAACCGCACACACGCACGCACAGACACACACACGCACAUAAGCGCACACAGUCCGGGUCGGAUGGCGUUAUCAACACAAAGAGAAAUAGAGAAAUAGUGGUGUGCAUCAACAUCCAAGUGCGCCUCCAAGGCCGUCGUAUCUCUGACACGCACAGACACACAAACAGACACACAACCCUGUGGUGGGUCACUGGGUUUUCAAGGUCCCAUCUGAAGCUGGUUACAUUGUGCCUUCGUAUCUCAAAGUUACACAAUCUAUGAAGACAAAGUCAAGACAAAGAGGCCCUGAAGGCAGCACGCGUGCAACCAGCUGGUCCAAAUACGGCGCGUUGAUGAAACGUUGAGGUGCAGCAGAGGAGCAGAACUGAUUUAGGGCGACGUCGGGUGUUUCACGCAGCUCUUAAACACACACCCUGUAAACGAUGAAGAAGCCGCUUCGUCUGAAUCGCAGCCCGAAGCAGUGAAACGAACGCUGCUGAUACUCGCGGGAAAGAGAGCGCGGACGAAUGCUGAAGGGCCUCUACUCCUCGGACGCGAAGGUGGGAGAAUGAAGCGCGCACUCGUGCGUCAGCAGCCACAACACCUCGAGAGUUUGUUUGCGGCGCGAAGCCUCCUCUGUCCGCCGGAGGAGAGAGCGGCAGCAGGAAAGGGCCCCACAUUUGGCUUCAGAAGAGCUCGGUGAUCUUCACUCCCACAGGAGGCCACGCGACCCAACAGAACAUGGAGAUGUUCCACCACCAGCAGGUUCCUUCCUCAUUUGAUCCUCAAUCGAGAGUUGAAGGAAGAAGCGAAUCCUUUCGGACGAAUGACUCAGUGUAAAUCCAAAGAUGCAAAGACGUGUUUGUCGCACAUUGUGAAGGUCACGCUGGUACAAACUCGUCGUGUUGUCAGCCGAGGUCGUGGAGUUGUGAUCCAUACGUAAUGAGAGAAGUUCAACCCGCCGGUCUCCAGCAAUGUGCACUCACAGACAUCCGAUUCACUUUCAUUUGGAGAUUUCGUUUAAUAAGACAUCUGUGUCCAACCUUGUAAAUGGUUUUAUGUGCUGACAUCCGAAAUAAAUAAGCUUGUUUGUUUUUUUUCAUUAUACAGCAUAUUUUACGAUUGCAUUUUAACAACCAAAGUGCAUUUAGCUUGAAAAUAAACUCAAGGAUGUAAUAAACGUCUCAAAGAUCGACUUAAAAGCAAUCUAGAGUAGAACUUUUUGUAAAUGGAUUUUUUUCCAGUAAAUUAAACAAUAAACUGUCAAGAGGAAAAGUGACGUGUUACGUACUUUUCUUAGCAAGAAAAACAAAAACAGCUAAACACAAAAAGCGACAAACUACUUUGUUGGCGAGUUGGCGCCAAAGUAUUCUCUGGUAUACAUGGCAGGUAGCAUGUAGCAGGUAGCACGUAGCAGGUAGCAGGUAGCAGGUAGCACGUAGCACGUAGCACGUAGCUAGGUCGCUAAAUAGCUCCGGGACCAGAGACCAGAUCCGACUGCAGCCUUUGCUGAGUCUCUCAGGGGGAACAAACAGCAUCACGAGCUCGUGGACUCGGAUCCUCGGGCCUUUUUAACAAAAACAGCAAGUCAAUAUGUUUUCUUUGAGGAAACUGACAGUCGACACCAACAAAUCACACAAAGCAACAUGAAGCUGGAUGAGAAACCCAGUGGAAUGUAAAAAAACAUCCUAAACUAUUAUCUCUUGGAUGAAGGGGGGUUAGAACCCAAAGAGCUCAGCAGGGAAAUCACGUUUCACUGCGUGUGUGUGUGUGUGUGUGCGUGUGCGUGUGCGUGUGCGUGUGUGUGUGUGCGUGUGUGUGUGUGUGUGUGUGUGUGUGUGUGUAAGAGAAGAAUGGAGACAUUGUAGCCGUUAGUGUGCGUGUGUCCACACUUGAUUUAAAGCCACUUUCAACAUUUUCUUUCAGAGUGAACGGAAAACUUUAGUUUUAGCCAAAGUUUUGUGGUUUGAUGAGAAAAACAUGGCGGUAAGGUGCUUUCUGAAAGGCUGCAUUGUCGAAACAGAGCGUUCUUGUAAUCACAUUAUCUCUCAAAGGAUGUCCAUGCUUUCUUAUUGUUUGAUUUUAUGUCGGUGUCAUAUGAAAUAACGCAUGUGAAUGAAAUGUAGAGGUACAUUAUUCCUCUUUUUAGUUCAUUGCUGAUUGGUUUGUCUGCAGGAUUACGGAAAAAAAAGAGAUUUUGGAUUGGAUCCAAAUCAAGGGGCGGAUAUAAAUAGUUUGUUUUUCCCUUUUUGUGCAUGAAGCCAAUUAGAGACCUCGACACUUUGUCCACAGCGAAACAUCCUCAGGUAGGAAGCCUCUCAUUAAACAUGGUUUAAUCAUUAUUCUGUUUGUCCUACUGUUCCUUUUUAAUUACAAAAACAGCUUCCAGAGCAAAUUGCUGAGCUUCAGUUCUGCCGAGGACGACGUGUCUGAUCUCGGGUGAAGUUUGUUCAAUCGGGUUAAAAGUAUGACUCAUUCACUCCACACAGAUUUCACAACAGCAUAACGACAGUUUGGUAAGUGACCAGUUAUGUGGUAAGAUGCAUUAGAACAAAUUGUUACGCCAGCACGCGGUUUUCCAACAACACCCUGUUGUUCACCUGUCAGUCGAGCUUUGAUGGAUCGUUUCCUCAUUACAGUUGGACGUCUCACGUGUCAGCCUCGCGUCAGUGACGAGCCGGUACGUCAGCAGGACAUCGAGCAAUGCGACGCGUCCUGCGAUGUGAACUCGAUCCGGAUCAGGAAAUGAAGCAACGAUCUGGCAAAGGUUUCCUCCAAAGUCGUGCGAGAGGAGCAGCCGCUCCGUGACCUGUGGAGGUGUCUGCUGUCCGCGUUGCCGCCAGAGGUCCGACAAGCUGACGGCAUCGGCGGCUGUGAUACUAAUUAUUUAGGAAGCACAUCGUCCAAAUCCACUGGAGAAAUGACGUGUGAGCCCGGGGGGGUUCAGACACAUGACAGGAGGCAGGUGGGCAGGUGGGCAGGUGGGGGGCUUCAGGCUGCACCUGAUGUCCAAUGGUUCCCGUGUAAAUCAACACUUUUACUUCUUCAUCGUGCAGCAAAGACCACAACAUCCCUGAAACGAGGAAAAGCAGAUGUGACGUGACAAGGCGUGCAGAUGUUGUAACAAACCGCUGCUCUCGUGCACGACGAGCCACAAGUGGGCGGCGCCCGUGACCACCAACCGCCGGCCUCCAAAAACAUGUUUUUCGUUUUUAACACGGCGGAAUAACUGGUGUCCACUGGUCCCUGCUAAUCACCGCAGGACGUUUUCCUCCAGGAGUCGGACAAAGGGUCCCGAGGGACGACCCGCAGCGUGCAGCCCACCCCUCCGGGCGCGUACAGUAGCGUGCGACCUUCAAGCCGCCCUUCGAGGUCGUCUGGGUGCUUUUCGUUCAUUCACAGAUGUAAACAAGGCCCCACGACCUUCACACAUGUGGGGAGUUUAAUUCUGUCCAAAUACUGUGGAAGCAUUUUCUACUUCUUGACUUUCCAACUGCACAACAAAUAGUGAACGAAUGUGUUGUCGACUUCCCCUCAUGACUCUGUAAUACUUUAUGCAAGAAAACCGCUCAGUAACAACGCCGUUCAUGUCAUUUCAUCCAAUGAAGUGCGGAUUAACUCCAGCUAUUUGUGUUGUGUUCAAAGAGGCAAAUGGCCAUUUAGUCUAAAUUAUGACAGUAAAAAUAGUAAUGAGGGAACAUAAAAUAAGUUUUGCGAUAAAAACAAUGUUUAGAUACACAACAAAUAAUAAAAGACAAGAAGGUCAUUUCUCUUGUUUCUUCAUUCAGUCGUCACAUGUUGCUCUUUCUGAUGAUGAUGAUGAUGAUGAUGAUGAUGAUGACUUUGUGUUUCUACCACUAAUGUUACUUCAUGUCGUCAGACUCAUCGCUGACAACCAAGCGCUCCUUUGUGGAGACGCGAGUGGAAAAAAAGGAGUGUUUCUGAAAAACAUCUUACUCACAUCCCUUUAGGACGUCUGACAGAACUACUAAACAUUACACACACACACACACACACACACACACACACACACACACACACACACACACACACACACACAGCUGUGCUCUUCAGCUCAAUGAGCAGAUCUGCUUUGGCAUCUUGGUAUUUGUGGCCAUCUGUCCUGUUCUCUUGCAGCUGAUCCCUGCGGCCUCCGGUGCGUCGCUUUGAACGGAAAAAGGACACGCGGCGUCCGUUUACUUUGCAUCAUCAUUUCAAUUUCUUCGCUUUGCAUCAAAGGCUAAUCGCAAACAAAUAAUGUGUCGGUUCAGCUGGAUGGAAUCGAAAUCGCAAUGGAGCGACUCCCACGAGGGUUACAGCGCACAACGGCAUCGCGUUUCACCUCAAAGUGACACGAAUCAACAAAUGUUACAACGAUCUGUUCCGUCUCGACUCAAAUGUGCUCAGCAUUAAAAACUGAAUACAACAACUGCCAAGAGACACAAAUCAACUGCAAAGCAACACAAAUCAACUACAGAGAGACAAAACAACUACAAAGACACAAAUCAACUGCAAAGCAACACAAAACAACUACAAAGAGACACAAAUCAACUGCAAAGCAACACAAAACAACUACAGAGAGACAAAACAACUACAAAGAGACACAAAUCAACUGCAAAGCAACACAAAACAACUACAAAGAGACACAAAUCAACUGCAAAGCAACACAAAACAACUACCAAGAGACACAAAUCAACUGCA
ensembl:lncRNA